rnacentral:rRNA from 1 species
UACGUAGGGAGCAAGCGUUGUUCGGAUUUACUGGGCGUAAAGGGCGCGUAGGCGGCGCGGUAAGUCACUUGUGAAAUCUCUGAGCUUAACUCAGAACGGCCAAGUGAUACUGCAGUGCUUGAGUGUGGAAGGGGCGAUCGGAAUUCUUGGUGUAGCGGUGAAAUGCGUAGAUAUCAAGAGGAACACCUGAGGUGAAGACGGGUUGCUGGGCCAACACUGACGCUGAUGCGCGAAAGCGUGGGGAGCAAACAGG